rnacentral:rRNA from 1 species
UGCGUAACACGUAUGUAACCUACCUUAAUCUGGGGGAUAGCCUCUCGAAAGAGAGAUUAACACCGCAUAACAUGUUUGAAUAGCAUUAUUUAAACAUCAAAUAUUUAUAGGAUUAAGAUGGGCAUGCGGAACAUUAGCUAGUUGGUAAGGUAAUGGCUUACCAAGGCUACGAUGUUUAGGGGAUCUGAGAGGAUGACCCCCCACACUGGUACUGAGACACGGACCAG